AGUCCGUGGUAUGGACAUUCUUGAAUCAAUGUUUUAAAGCACUCUCAAGCUUCAUAGAAAUUUCCUCCAUCUAAUUGCUUAAACAUAGAAAUCUCUCUCCUUAGUUG
rfam:Gossypium hirsutum cultivar TM-1 chromosome 2, whole genome shotgun sequence